AAAUUGAAGAGUUUGAUCAUGGCUCAGAUUGAACGCUGGCGGCAGGCCUAACACAUGCAAGUCGAGCGGUAGCACAGAGAGCUUGCUCUCGGGUGACGAGCGGCGGACGGGUGAGUAAUGUCUGGGAAACUGCCUGAUGGAGGGGGAUAACUACUGGAAACGGUAGCUAAUACCGCAUAACGUCGCAAGACCAAAGUGGGGGACCUUCGGGCCUCAUGCCAUCAGAUGUGCCCAGAUGGGAUUAGCUAGUAGGUGGGGUAAUGGCUCACCUAGGCGACGAUCCCUAGCUGGUCUGAGAGGAUGACCAGCCACACUGGAACUGAGACACGGUCCAGACUCCUACGGGAGGCAGCAGUGGGGAAUAUUGCACAAUGGGCGCAAGCCUGAUGCAGCCAUGCCGCGUGUGUGAAGAAGGCCUUCGGGUUGUAAAGCACUUUCAGCGGGGAGGAAGGCGAUAAGGUUAAUAACCUUGUCGAUUGACGUUACCCGCAGAAGAAGCACCGGCUAACUCCGUGCCAGCAGCCGCGGUAAUACGGAGGGUGCAAGCGUUAAUCGGAAUUACUGGGCGUAAAGCGCACGCAGGCGGUCUGUCAAGUCGGAUGUGAAAUCCCCGGGCUCAACCUGGGAACUGCAUUCGAAACUGGCAGGCUAGAGUCUUGUAGAGGGGGGUAGAAUUCCAGGUGUAGCGGUGAAAUGCGUAGAGAUCUGGAGGAAUACCGGUGGCGAAGGCGGCCCCCUGGACAAAGACUGACGCUCAGGUGCGAAAGCGUGGGGAGCAAACAGGAUUAGAUACCCUGGUAGUCCACGCCGUAAACGAUGUCGAUUUGGAGGUUGUGCCCUUGAGGCGUGGCUUCCGGAGCUAACGCGUUAAAUCGACCGCCUGGGGAGUACGGCCGCAAGGUUAAAACUCAAAUGAAUUGACGGGGGCCCGCACAAGCGGUGGAGCAUGUGGUUUAAUUCGAUGCAACGCGAAGAACCUUACCUGGUCUUGACAUCCACAGAACUUUCCAGAGAUGGAUUGGUGCCUUCGGGAACUGUGAGACAGGUGCUGCAUGGCUGUCGUCAGCUCGUGUUGUGAAAUGUUGGGUUAAGUCCCGCAACGAGCGCAACCCUUAUCCUUUGUUGCCAGCGGUUA
rnacentral:rRNA from 1 species